AUUGAACGCUGGCGGCAUGCCUUACACAUGCAAGUCGAACGGCAGCACGGGAGCAAUCCUGGUGGCGAGUGGCGAACGGGUGAGUAAUAUAUCGGAACGUGCCCGGUCGUGGGGGAUAACGUAGCGAAAGCUACGCUAAUACCGCAUACGAUCUACGGAUGAAAGCGGGGGAUCGCAAGACCUCGCGCGAUUGGAGCGGCCGAUAUCAGAUUAGGUAGUUGGUGAGGUAAAGGCUCACCAAGCCGACGAUCUGUAGCUGGUCUGAGAGGACGACCAGCCACACUGGGACUGAGACACGGCCCAGACUCUUACGGGAGGCAGCAGUGGGGAAUUUUGGACAAUGGGCGCAAGCCUGAUCCAGCAAUGCCGCGUGCAGGAUGAAGGCCUCGGUUGUAACUAGCUUUGUUACGGUAACG
rnacentral:rRNA from 1 species